GUUGAUUUAUGGCUACGAUUUAAGUAUAUGAGACAACAAUUUUCAAUCGUUGCUUUAAAUUCCUUAUGUAAUAGUGUAUUUACACCUAAAAUCAUAUAAAAUUGCAAGAUAUAUUAAUUAAUCAAAUCUCUAACUUCAUGCAUUAAUGUAUUAAUUUAAUGAAGGUAGAGGCUUGAUUACUGAACUAACAGUCCUAUAAUUAAUUAUACGAGUAAUAGUUAAUUAAUAGGGAUAUCAUCAAUAACAUAUAUAGUUAGUCAUUCAGAAACUCUCUUGGCCUUCUUCAUUACUUUAUACCAUUGUCCUUUGUGCAAUCUCUGCAUCUCUAUGUAUCCUCAAUUAUUGUCACUUCUACUUAAUGAAUAGAGAUAAUCACAAUUAAUAACUUAAACUCUAGGAUUAUUCUAAGUUGAAUAUCACACUUCAAAACUUUACUAUAUUGACCCUAAAUUUUAGUUUAGAUUUCAAUAUCAAUCUUUAUUUUUUUUUUGUUUAACAAAAUUAAUUAAUUUGGGAUUUAAAAUAUCCAUAGAAUAAGCUUCAACUUAAACAUAUAAUUUUUAGAUAUACGUGCAAGGUUAAAUAUUUUUAAGGCCUAAUAACCAAAAGAAUCCAAACAUUUGCAUGUUUUUUCAAUUUUAGCCCAUUCUUUCCAUUUCUUAAAUUUUAGCUUAACCUUAUAACAUUGAUAAUAAUUUUUGCCAAUUUAGUAAAUGAAAAUAGCUACAUUGAAUGUAUAAGAACAAAGAUUACAGUUCCUAAUUAUUCUAAAAAAAAUUAAGAAUUAUUAACUAUCAGAUAAAUAUAUUUUUUUUAAUUGAUAUAACUUUUUUUUUU
rnacentral:misc_RNA from 1 species